rnacentral:rRNA from 1 species
ACCGGCGCACGGGUGAGUAACGCGUAUGCAACCUGCCCUUCACAGGGGGAUAACCGGGAGAAAUUCCGACUAAUACCGCAUAGUGAAGGAUGGGCAUGCGUGAUAUUAGGUAGUUGGCGGGGCAACGGCCCACCAAGCCUACGAUAUCUAGGGGUUCUGAGAGGAAGGUCCCCCACAUUGGUACUGAGACACGGACCAAACUCCUACGGGAGGCAGCAGUGAGGAAUAUUGGUCAAUGGACGAGAGUCUGAACCAGCCAAGUCGCGUGAAGGAAGACGGAUUAUGGUUUGUAAACUUCUUUAGGGCGGGAACGUGUACCGCAAGAAUAAGCAUCGGCUAACUCCGUGCCAGCAGCCGCGGUAAUACGGAGGAUGCGAGCGUUAUCCGGAUUUAUUGGGUUUAAAGGGAGCGCAGGCUGCGAGGCAAGUCAGCGGUCAAAUGUCGGGGCUCAACCCCGGCCUGCCGUUGAAACUGUCCUGCUAGGUUCGAGUGAGGUAUGCGGAAUGCGUUGUGUAGCGGUGAAUGCAUAGAUAUGACGCAGAACUCCGAUUGCGAAGGCAGCAUACCAACUCGCGACUGACGCUGA